rnacentral:tRNA from 1 species
GAAAAUCCGUUGACUUUAAAA